CUUGCUGGGUACUCCAGUGGCGAACSGGUGAGUAACACCGUGGGUGAUCUGCCCCUGACUUUGGGAUAAGCCUGGGAAACUGGGUCUAAUACCCAAUAUUCAUUUUUCCUCCCAUGGGGAUUGGUGGAAAGCUUUUGCCGUUGGGGGAUGGCGCCCCGCGGCCUAUCAGCUUGUUGGUGGGGUAAUGGCCUACCAAGGCGACGACGGGUAGCCNACCUGAGAGGGUGAUCGGCCACACUGGGACUGAGACACGGCCCAGACUCCUACGGGAGGCAGCAGUGGGGAAUAUUGCACAAUGGGCGCAAGCCUGAUGCACCACGCCGCGUGAGGGAUGACGGCCUUCGGUUGUAAACCUCUUUCACUCCACGAAGCCCAAGUGACGGUAAGAGCAGAAGAGCACCGCCAACUACGUGCCAGCAGCCGCGGUAAUACGUARGGUGCAAGCCGUUGUCCGAAUUACUGGCCUAAAGACUCGUAGCC
rnacentral:rRNA from 1 species